GUGCCAGCAGCCGCGGUAAUACGGAGGGUGCAAGCGUUAUCCGGAUUCACUGGGUUUAAAGGGUGCGUAGGCGGGUAUAUAAGUCAGUGGUGAAAGCUCCGAGCUUAACUUGGAAACUGCCAUUGAUACUGUAUAUCUUGAAUGUCGUUGAGGUUAGCGGAAUGUUGCAUGUAGCGGUGAAAUGCUUAGAUAUGUUACAGAACACCAAUUGUGAAGACAGCUAACUAAGCGAUGAUUGACGCUGAGGCACGAAAGCGUGGGGAGCAAACAGGAUUAGAAACCCCCGUAGUCC
rnacentral:rRNA from 1 species